CGGCCCUGGAACGGAAGAUACCGAAUAGGAUAGCCCGAGAACCAUAGCACAGAACGGGACAAGGUUACAGCCACGGAGAGCCGCAAUGUACCGCUCUGCGGAGAGAUGAGUGAGCUGCACAGCUAAGGAAUUGGACACAAGCGAGUUGCUUGGUAACUCACUGACCUUUUAGAGAAACAUUGAAGAAAGGUGCUGGGUGAGCUGAGGGUAAGACGUGCAGGACACUGCAAAAGUACUAAUCUGACUGAAAAAGUCCAUCUGUCACCAGUUUUGUGGUAGUAAAACUAAAGAACCACAGAUGUGAAAUCUCGCGGAACUUCGGUCCAUAAAUUGUGGCGAUGGGUUCAUUCACGUUAGACUUGAGAAAGGGAGAAAUCCUGAAAUGUUGCCAAUCAAGCUCCC